UUCUGAACAACAAUUUCCUUUGCAAAAAUGUCGGAUGGGGCUUUGUUUUUGAAUUAUUAACGAAAAACAGCGACCAAUCACAACGUCCGAGGAACGCUCGCUCAAAGCAUAGGCGUAAGUUAGGACGGUCGGUAUUACAGCAGAUUUUUCUGCAUAAAAAUGGUAAUACCCAUAGAGACACGGAUGGCCGAUGACAACGAGAUGGCGCUUUCUGCUAUGCGUUUUCAAGAGUGAUGCAUGCCUGUGCAACAUGAGGACACCAUUUGGGGAAAGUGUCGACUUCCUCUGGGUCCCAUGGGGCAGAACAUGUUGUCAUCCCCUGAGAAAACUCCGCAGGUCGCGCGAGUCGUGCAUCGCGAUGUUACAAAGACAGCAUAGGGAUGGGCGAGAGUGAGCAGGGCCAAUUUUGGCAAUAUUGGCGCCCCUUCAGACUUAAAAUUUUUAAGAAAAGAAGACAAGAAAUAUCACAUGCAGCAACUAAUUGGCAACCAGCUGCAGCAGCUAUACCAUCCACAGCAGCGAUCACAGGAACUGGACUCUGACUAAUUGCUCGCAUCAUGUCAGAGCAUGUUUCAAAGACUUCCUUGUGAAGCUUCUCAUUGUUAGCAGUCUAAACGACGCAAGCCAAUCAUUUCUCUGUGAUGAAUUUAUGUCCAGCCGAAAAUAGACUUCCUGGUACAGAUCUGAGAACAAUGGAUCUAAGAUUUUUGUUAUCUUCAUCUUUCUUGAUAUUCGACACGAUGGACUUCAACAUACCCAGUGAUAAGGAGUUACGUGAUGCAGGAUG